rnacentral:rRNA from 1 species
UACGUAGGGACCAAGCGUUGUUCGGAUUUACUGGGCGUAAAGGGCGCGUAGGCGGCUUGACAAGUCACUUGUGAAAUCUCCGGGCUUAACUCGGAACGGCCAAGUGAAACUGUCAUGCUAGAGUGCAGAAGGGGCAAUCGGAAUUCUUGGUGUAGCGGUGAAAUGCGUAGAUAUCGGGAGGAACACCUGUGGCGAAAGCGGCGCACUGGACCACAACUGACGCUGAGGCGCGAAAGCUAGGGGAGCAAACAGG